CAAGAGAUCCAUUCCAAUUUAUUUCAAGCUUCAUCAAAGUUUCAUCAAGAAUCACUAGUGUACAUUCAAAUCCAUUCAAAACACAUAGUUCAGAUGACAUUAAAUAUACACCACUUCGAAAUCACCAUUACAUCCAUAUCAUUUCAAGUACGCCAAGUACAUCACCUAUUCUAUUACAUCAUCAUCAUCACAAAGUUUUACAAAAACCAAGACACGUUACAAAUUGAUUUAAAAAGUUAUAUUACCUCAAGGUUCAAUUAUAUCAAGAAAUCAUACACAAAACCUAUGCCUUAUCCUAAACCUAGUGGCCACCAUUCUUCAUGCAACAUUCUUCACCAAUUCUCUUCAUGUCUUCUCCAAAAUUCUUUGCAAACUUCAUGA
rnacentral:lncRNA from 1 species